rnacentral:lncRNA from 1 species
UUCAGUAUAAGGUUUAAAACCCUAAUGCUGAUAAAAAGGAAAAAUUCAGUUUAGGAUUUAAAACCCUAAUGCUGAUUUUAUGGAAAAGCUCAGUUUAGGGUUUAAAACCCUAAUGCUGGCUGAAUGGGAAAAAGUUCAGUUUAGGGUUUAAAACCCUAAUGCUGAUUAAAAGGAAAAUUCAGUUUAGGAUUUAAAACCCUAAGGCUAAUUUCAUGGAAAAGCUCAGUUUAGGGUUUAAAACCCUAAUGCUGGCUGAAUGGGAAAAAGUUCAGUUUAGGGUUUAAAAACCUAAUGCUGACUGAAAUAGAAAAAGUUCAGUUCAGGGUUUAAAACCCUAAUGCUGACUAAAAAGAAAAUUCAGUUUAGGGUUUAAAACCCUAAUGCUGAUAGCAUGGAAAAGCUCAGUUUAGGGUUUAAAACCCUAAUGCUGGCUGAAUGGGAAAAAGUUUAGUUUAGGGUUUAAAACCCUAAUGCUGAUUAAAAGGAAAAUUCAGUUUAGGGUUUAAAACCCUAAUGCUGAUUGCAUGGAAAAGCUCAGUUUAGGGUUUAAAACCCUAAUGCUGGCUGAAUGGGAAAAAGUUCAGUUUAGGGUUUAAAACCCUAAUGCUGAUUAAAAGGCAAAUUCAGUUUAGGGUUUAAAAACCUAAUGCUGACUGAAAUAGAAAAAGUUCAGUUCAGGGUUUAAAACCCUA